rnacentral:rRNA from 1 species
GAUGAACGCUAGCGGCAGGCUUAACACAUGCAAGUCGAGGGGUAGAAGUCUUCGGGCUUUGAGACCGGCGCACGGGUGCGUAACGCGUAUGCAAUCUGCCUUCCACAAAGGAAUAGCCCAGAGAAAUUUGGAUUAAUGCCUUAUAGCAUCACGAGAUGGCAUCAUCCUGUGAUUAAAGAUUUAUCGGUGGAAGAUGAGCAUGCGUCCCAUUAGCUAGUUGGUAAGGUAACGGCUUACCAAGGCGAUGAUGGGUAGGGGUCCUGAGAGGGAGAUCCCCCACACUGGUACUGAGACACGGACCAGACUCCUACGGGAGGCAGCAGUGAGGAAUAUUGGUCAAUGGGCGCAAGCCUGAACCAGCCAUGCCGCGUGCAGGAUGAAGCAUCUAUGGUGUGUAAACUGCUUUUAUACAGGAAGAAACAACUCUACGUGUAGAGUCUUGACGGUACUGUAGGAAUAAGGAUCGGCUAACUCCGUGCCAGCAGCCGCGGUAACACGGAGGAUCCAAGCGUUAUCCGGAAUCAUUGGGUUUAAAGGGUCCGUAGGCGGCCCUGUAAGUCAGUGGUGAAAUCUCCCCGCUCAACGGGGAAACGGCCAUUGAUACUGCAGGGCUUGAAUUAUUGGGAAGUAACUAGAAUAUGUAGUGUAGCGGUGAAAUGCUUAGAUAUUACAUGGAGUACCGAUUGCGAAGGCAGGUUACUACCAAUGGAUUGACGCUGAUGGACGAAAGCGUGGGUAGCGAACAGGAUUAGAUACCCUGGUAGUCCACGCCGUAAACGAUGGAUACUAGCUGUUCGGGGCAACCUGAGUGGCUAAGCGAAAGUGAUAAGUAUCCCACCUGGGGAGUACGUUCGCAAGAAUGAAACUCAAAGGAAUUGACGGGGGCCCGCACAAGCGGUGGAGCAUGUGGUUUAAUUCGAUGAUACGCGAGGAACCUUACCAGGGCUUAAAUGUAAUCUGACAGGACUGGAAACAGUUUUUUCUUCGGACAGAUUACAAGGUGCUGCAUGGUUGUCGUCAGCUCGUGCCGUGAGGUGUCAGGUUAAGUCCUAUAACGAGCGCAACCCCUGUCGUUAGUUGCCAGCGAGUCAUGUCGGGAACUCUAACGAGACUGCCAGUGCAAACUGAGAGGAAGGUGGGGAUGACGUCAAAUCAUCACGGCCCUUACGCCCUGGGCUACACACGUGCUACAAUGGACGGUACAGAGAGCAGCCACUGGGCGACCAGGAGCGAAUCUACAAAACCGUUCACAGUUCGGAUCGGAGUCUGCAACUCGACUCCGUGAAGCUGGAAUCGCUAGUAAUCGGAUAUCAGCCAUGAUCCGGUGAAUACGUUCCCGGGCCU